UUGGUGUGUUAACAUUUAUCAGUCUCGAUUGAAAUUUUGAAAGAUACGUUACUUUCGUGCUUGAAUGCCUUUUUGGUUCAGUUAAUUUAUAUUUCAAGUCCGUAAUACGUUCUGUUCAAAAACCUAUAGAAAAAUGUGCUAUAUAGUUAACAUAUAUAAAGAUAAAUUCAAUGUGCAUAAAAAGUUAACAAAGGGAUUGGGUGUGGCAAGGUGAUAAUCAAUAAAUCGGUUAGGAAAUUUCAUGAAGAUGACGUGGAGUCCAUUUUGAAAUCAAAUUGGGAUUUCAAAAUGGGGGAAAUCAACAACGAUGGAAUUUUGUGCCAAAAUGUUAAAAAACUUCUGCACCAAAAAUUUCAACUGCAGUCAAUCGAUUUCUGAAUUGAAAUGAAAAUUAUGGCGAAUGUACGGAUACGGUGUCGCCCCCUACCAAAACCACUUGAAACUUUAGUAUUUUGUUUAAGGCACAACAAACAGAACAAUAAUAAUAGGAAAUUGGCAAUGAAUUUAAUAGCAAAUGGCAGUUUCCACAUUGUCUAGGAGCUAUGGAUGGAAAACGUGAAAUUUCAACCUCUCAGAAGGGAUGGGACGAAAUUAUGAACUGACAGCAUCAGAUGCAGGUGGUCGAUUUCAAAGGUCUGCUUUGUCAGCAUCUUUGAUAAAUCAAAGUAUUCAAUUAGGUACCUCUGGCAAAAUUCUGACGUUUUUGUAGGACGUGGUGCAAUUUCCUUUUAAAGGGAAAUUUAAUGAAACCUAUAGGUCUUGUAGUUUAACAAAUGAACAAAGAAUUUUUACUACAGAGUCAGCCGUUCUAGCAAAACCGUAGAUAAUAGUUUUGGUGUUCUUUGUAAUAGAUUCCGUAUGUUACAAGACAUAAUAAAUGUCGACGUUGAAAAAGUUUGUACAAUUACAAAGGUAUGUUGCAUUUUACAGAAUUACCUUUUAAAAACCUCUUCAGUAUAUGCUGAAAACCAGGAUAAUGAAGAUUGCACUACAAAUGCCAAUUUUAGAACAUUUUACUGCUUUGUAGUAAGUCUUAGUUUAUUACAAUAAACAUAUUACAAUAAUAUUAUUAUAAAGUAUUAAUGGCGUAGGCGCAAAAUUUCGGCCCCAGUUCUUUUUAAAUGCAUUCAUUAUUUUCGAAUCUUGAGAAAACUAAUAACUAUUUUUGAAAAAUUUAAACGUAGAAUGAAAAAUACAUUAUUACAGAAAGUCGAAAGUCCCUUAGAAUACACAGUUUCUUUUGAAUGAGUUAUUUUAAAUUAAAAAUCAUACUCAAUUUUCUUUUUUUUUUCACCCUGUAACUUAUUAAAAUAAACAUAGAAGUUUGCAGGGACUUUCGGCCCUCGGUAAUAAUGUAAUCUUUCAUUCUGAGUUUAAAUCUUUCAAAAAUACUUAUUAGUGUUCUCAGAAUUCGAAAAAAACUAGUGCAGUUAAAAAAAAUUAACCCGAAAUUUUGCGUCUACCCCCUUAAAUAAAAACAGUUUAAUCUCAGACAGGCUUUUAUUUUGCACAUUGAAAGUAUUUACAAUUAACUACAUUCUAACUACAAAAUGAACACCUAUUUUCAUAAUUUGUACUCAAUUCUAAUAAAGUUUUGAAUAUGGUAUUGCAGUUGCACGUCCUUUGCCUUUUUGUCGGAAGACUCCGAAUCUCACUUGCAACAAAUUCGCUAAUGCCUUGUUGCCAGGGCCACCGAGAGGGCGGUACAGCCGGUACAUUUUACCGGGGCCCGGCGAUGUAAGGGGCCCGGCGUCGACCAGGCCAAUGACGUAAUUUUUCCCGUUUUUUUGCUCUUAACUUUAUGUCCAUAAUGCGUUUAAUUAGAUUAUAGAUACUCGGCUAUAUUUAAUAUUAUGACCUUUAAUCGAUUUUGUUUAAAAUUUUAACAGCAAUAAAUCACAGGAGUCAAAUUCUACAGUGCAGUCAGAUAAAAAUAUGGUAUAGAUAUGGAGAUUAAAAAUAUAUCAGGCUUCUAGAAUAUUUACAAAAAAUCAGAAGAAUCUAUAUUGGAGAAUCUAAAUUAGUUACCAGCAGUUAUGGAAUAAAUCCAGAAUUUACAUCAAAUAAAGAAAAA
rnacentral:lncRNA from 1 species